GGAGAUUGUGCAUUCUUUUUGUUGUUGUUGUUGUUAUUUGACUAUAUUUGUUUUUUUGUAAGGAAUCAUCGAGACUUUGACGGCUAAAGUUGAGGAUUAGGAAGCUAUCAAAACAUAUCCUCCGCCACUACCACCACAAUACGCUUGUAUUAGGAUUUUAUUAUUGUACUUUGUUAAUUUAUAUGUACAUUUUGAAUAUAUA
rnacentral:lncRNA from 1 species